rnacentral:tRNA from 1 species
UUGAUAGAAGCCAAAAUCAGAGGCUUAUCAUUGUUAAUGAUAUAAUUGAAAUAUUUCCUAUCAAU